rnacentral:rRNA from 1 species
CAGUCGCCGCGGUAAUGCGAGGGGGGCUAGCGUUGUUCGGAUUUACUGGGCGUAAAGCGCACGUAGGCGGAUCGAUCAGUCAGGGGUGAAAUCCCAGAGCUCAACUCUGGAACUGCCUUUGAUACUGUCGAUCUGGAGUAUGGAAGAGGUGAGUGGAAUUCCGAGUAUAGAGGUGAAAUUCGUAGAUAUUCGGAGGAACACCAGUGGCGAAGGCGGCUCACUGGUCCAUUACUGACGCUGAGGUGCGAAAGCGUGGGGAGCAAACAGGAUUAGAGACCCCCGUAGUCCCUGUCUCUUAUAC